rnacentral:rRNA from 1 species
UAUUGGGCGUAAAGCGCGCGCAGGCGGUUUCUUAAGUCUGAUGUGAAAGCCCCCGGCUCAACCGGGGAGGGUCAUUGGAAACUGGGGAACUUGAGUGCAGAAGAGGAGAGUGGAAUUCCACGUGUAGCGGUGAAAUGCGUAGAGAUGUGGAGGAACACCAGUGGCGAAGGCGACUCUCUGGUCUGUAACUGACGCUGAGGCGCGAAAGCGUGGGGAGCGAACAGGAUUAGAUACCCUGGUAGUCCACGCCGUAAACGAUGAGUGCUAAGUGUUAGAGGGUUUCCGCCCUUUAGUGCUGCAGCAAACGCAUUAAGCACUCCGCCUGGGGAGUACGGUCGCAAGACUGAAACUCAAAGGAAUUGACGGGGGCCCGCACAAGCGGUGGAGCAUGUGGUUUAAUUCGAAGCAACGCGAAGAACCUUACCAGGUCUUGACAUCCUCUGACACCCCUAGAGAUAGGGCUUCCCCUUCGGGGGCAGAGUGACAGGUGGUGCAUGGUUGUCGUCAGCUCGUGUCGUGAGAUGUUGGGUUAAGUCCCGCAACGAGCGCAACCCUUGAUCUUAGUUGCCAGCAUUCAGUUGGGCACUCUAAGGUGACUGCCGGUGACAAACCGGAGGAAGGUGGGGAUGACGUCAAAUCAUCAUGCCCCUUAUGACCUGGGCUACACACGUGCUACAAUGGACAGAACAAAGGGCAGCGAAGCCGCGAGGCUCAGCCAAUC